rnacentral:rRNA from 1 species
GACGAACGCUGGCGGCGUGCUUAACACAUGCAAGUCGAACGGUAAGGCCCCUUCGGGGGUACACGAGUGGCGAACGGGUGAGUAACACGUGAGCAACCUGCCCUUGACACUGGAAUAACAGCUGGAAACAGCUGCUAAUGCAGGAUAUGACCUUCGGAGACAUCACCUCGGAGGUGGAAAGUGCUUAGCGGUCAAGGGUGGGCUCGCGGCCUAUCAGCUAGUUGGUGAGGUAACGGCUCACCAAGGCUACGACGAGUAGCCGGCCUGAGAGGGCGACCGGCCACACUGGGACUGAGAUACGGCCCAUACGCCUACGGUGGGCAGCAGUGGGGAAUAUUGGACAAUGGGCGCAAGCCUGAGGCAGCAACGCCGCGUGCGGGAUGACGGCCUUCGGGUUGUAAACCGCUUUCAGUUCCGACGAAGCGCAAGUGACGGUAGGAACAGAAGAAGGACCGGCCAACUACGUGCCAGCCGCCGCGGUAACAC